AGUUACAGAUUGAUCUCCUCGUUCUCUCUUUCCCCCCUUCCCACUACUGCACUUGACUAGUCUUUU
rnacentral:Y_RNA from 1 species